CGGCGGUGUUCGGAUUUCUUGAUCGGGAUUACGAGACUGAUUUCAAAUUUCCGAUACGAGAUGAGCUCAUAAGUAACCUGCUGCCUUCAUUUUAUCAAGAUAUGAUUGUCAGUGUAUACUCCAAGAAAUCUGAACUGGUAGGAGCAGUUUCUAAGGCCUUUGAAAAUUAUCAGCUAAAGACAUACGGAAGGAAAGCACAAGUUCAUGAUACUCCUGAGAAGAAGAAAAGCCGGAAUAGAAAAUAAUCACCCACAACUUUCAUAUAUACUAGUACAAUAUAAUACUCAUUUUACUAAUUCACAAUACUC